rnacentral:rRNA from 1 species
CACAAGCGGUGGAUGAUGUGGUUAAUUCGAUGCAACGCGAAAACCUUACCACCUUUGACAUGUACGGAAUCCUUUAGAGAUAGAGGAGUGCUCGAAAGAGAACCGUAACACAGGUGCUGCAUGGCUGUCGUCAGCUCGUGUCGUGAGAUGUUGGGUUAAGUCCCGCAACGAGCGCAACCCUUAUCAUUAGUUGCUACGCAAGGGCACUCUAAUGAGACUGCCGGUGACAAACCGGAGGAAGUGGGGAUGACGUCAAGUCCUCAUGGCCCUUAUGGGUAGGGCUUCACACGUCAUACAAUGGUCGGUACAGAGGGUUGCCAAGCCGCGAGGUGGAGCCAAUCCCAGAAAGCCGAUCGUAGUCCGGAUUGUUCUCUGCAACUCGAGAGCAUGAAGUCGGAAUCGCUAGUAAUCGCGGAUCAGCAUGUCGCGGUGAAUACGUUCCCGGGUCUU